GGUUGCGAUCAUACCAACUCUAAUGCAUCGGAUCCCAUUAGAACUCUGCAGUUAAGCAUGCUUGGGCCAAAGUAGUACUAAGUUGGAUGACCACUUGGGAAGUCCUCGUGUUGAGGACC
rnacentral:rRNA from 1 species